ACUAAGCUCGCAAACGGAUGCAAUUUUGGGCCAGAACGGACCCGACACACAUUCUACUCUGGUCAUCUCCCUUCCCCACGACCAAUAUCGCGAGAAAAUUUCACCGGACAGUCGCGCGCCUCCGGACCUGACUCAAAUGCAAGAGAGACUCAGAGAAUGGUUUUUAUUUGGCUGUGCUCUCCUGUCGGGCUUUCCUUUCUCUGGUACGAGCAGGGUCGAAGUCAGGAUUUCAUUUGAGAGUUGCAGAAAACCCUAAUUCUUUAUCGGUCAAAUCGUCGAUCAUUGUUGGCACAUAUUAUCUGAGAGGUGUCGAAGACUGAUCAGGAACUAGCGGUGGAAAUUCCCUAUGCCGCGGCCUACCCGGCACUUACUCCCCUCCUCCGCCCGCUCAGUACUACGUUGGAGAGGAUCCCUACCAAGUCGGAGCCGUACCAUGAAACACCGUCGGCGAUCCCAGAGGGACUCCCCAACAGCUGACGAUCUUCAGAGAUACCGCUGUUCCUUCAACUGUGUGUACGUGGUAAUUCUGGAUCCCAGAAAGGCAAAACUAUGCAUAUGAAGUUUUGGAGGACUCCCAAACCUUGUGAUUGUGGCGUGAAACUCAUGGGUGCAGGAUCAGAGGAAUUCUUACCUGUUCCAUUGAAUAAUUGACACUUCAGUAGCCAAGAAGAUUGGAGUCAAUUCAAGCCUCAUUAUCGAUGCAGCCUGCAGGUUCAGAGGAAUUCUUACUUGUUCCCAGCAUCAAUUGAAUAAUUGACACUUCAGUAGCCAAGACGAUAGGAGUCAGUUCAAGUCUCUGUAUUUGGUACUAUGCCAUUUAUUUGGUACAUUGGCAGUUUCACCUAUCUUGUCAGGGCUUCAAAUUUCCUCUCGAAUGGAUUAAACUAUGAAGAGAAUGAAGCCUGAGGCAAAAAUGCUAAAAUUUCUUAUGCUAUGGGCACAUAUUGAGGAAUUACACUGUAGGAAAGCUAAUAUUUUUGUGAUUCUUAGACAAGAUGGAGUUUUUUUUGGGUGUAGCCAUAGGUUUUACGUACACAUAUAUGCACGUACCUAUGUACAUACACACACACACACACACACCUAUAUAUUCAUCUAUAAUAUUUUUAGCAAGUAAAGAAAAUAUGUUAAGAGGUACACAGACAAAAAUCUCAGUUCCCUGAUUUCUGCGACAAUUUGUUGUUAUUUAUCUCUGGAUUGAUUUGUUUUGUAACCAUUUUCUCCACCUUUGAUUUGAAUCCGAUUACUCCUGAAAGUUGAAUUG